CACAAACCUGACCUCUGGGAAUAGGUGUUGCCACAAUUACUUUAGCAUCACCAUUGUGAAUAGAUUGUUCACUUUUUGAAUAUCCCAUUUCUUUUCACCAGGAGUGAAUAGAUCACAUACUUUAACUACAGGUGAUCGGUUAGUAUUUGUACUAUCUACUUUAAAAUCAGCUUUCCCUCUUAGCCAUGCAUCCUCAAAAACUCUAAUUUCCUUCCCAUCCCCAAGAACUCAUCUAAGAACCUGUUUCAAAACCUCAUUGGCUUGCCAUAAUCCAGACCAGAUAUGGCUCUCCAUGCGUUGCUUCAGAAAGAGAACUGUUUUGGAAAAAAUCUGGCCUUAUAAUUACGUGCAACUUAUAACUCUGUCGGAUUCGAAAAUAUCUGUCUUACCUUCUUCCACAAAUACAGGAUUUAAAUGAUUUUGUAUAGUGGCACCAAAUCCAGAACCCCGAAUUUGAGGGAUUACAGUGCUGCUUUUGAUAAACACUUCACACUUCACCCCUGAAUUCUUUUCCAAAUUCGAUCUCCAAGAAAUUUAAAAAUCGAUUUCAAGCAAUGUAAACUCCUGAAACGAGAAAUCAGCUAAUAACUCGUUAUUCUGCUCAUCUGAGAAUACAGAGUCACCAGCUUCUACCUCCAUAUAUAUCUUUCUCCCUCACUCCCUUAUCAAAAAGCUUCAAAAAAUAAUCCUUUACUAUCUGACAUCUCCUCAUGACCGUCACCAACUCCCCAUCGUUGUUUUUCAGCUUCAUAACGUGAUUUAAUUCCUUCAUUGUUGUUGCAUAAGCGUGAAAAGUGUUAAUUUUACGGAUAUUUUUAGUUUUAGCUAUUUUUGUUUUUGUUCAUUGCUUACAUUUGCUGAAUAAUGAGUAUCGAAAGAAAUAGAUAUUAUCUAAAUGAGAUGUUGGGUGUUGCAUCAAAUGAUGUAUAAAUAUUUUUUUGGUUCAAGCGUAGAUCAACCAGUGUUGUAAAAAGCGGAAAUCGGACUUAAUCGGUGAAGUCACGGAACAAGGAUUAAUCGGGGAUUAAUUAAAUUGAUCGGAGAUUAAUCGGAUUGAUGGGUGAUUAAUCGGAGAUUUUAUCAGUUCGGCGAGCUACGGAACAGGGAUUAAUCGUGAUUAAUCAGCGAUUUUUAGAACAGAGAGAUCAACAUAUAUUUUACCUGUAUGAAAAUUAUUAACAAAUAAAUUUAAGUCAGGAAAAUUGUUCAAAAUUCAUUAAAAUCCGAUGAUAUUUAAAUGUUAUGGAAUUUUUUGGACUUCAUGAAAUGAUUGAGUUUGUUGGAUUGUUUAAUGUAUUUUAAGAUUUUUGAAUCCCACCGAAAUCAAUGAGAUUUUUAAGCAUUGUGCAUAUAUCCUAAAAACUCUCAUCAACUCUACAACAUUUUAACUAUAAUCCGCAUAAAAUCAAAAUCAGAUAAAAUCCAAUAAAAUCCAUAAAAUCCCAGCCGAAUACAUCCUCUUAGAGCAUCUCUAAUAAGAUUUGAUUAUAAUCGUCGGCUAAAUUGGAUCAUAAGUCAUUGUGUAAAAUUUACUACACUCGUAAGACAUUGUGCUUUUGGCUAUAUUGAUCGGUUAUAAUUUAAAAAUAGUAUAUUACUAAUAUUUUAGAUUGUUAUAAUUAGAAUAUAUUGGUCCAAUAUAAUAAUAAAUGAUGUGUAAUUUUUCUACAAAUUUUCUAGAGACUUGCAGGGCUUCGACAAAUAUAAUCAUACAUACAAGAUUGACUAAAACUAUAGAUAAGAGGUGAGAAUAGUUUGUAUGUGAUACUAUUUUAAAGACAUUAACUAUAUUUUUUAUUGUUAGUAUAACAACUCACUAUUUUAGUUAAAGUUUUAUAAUGAUUGGAGUUGCUAUCAGAUAAGUUUGUUAAUUUUAGACGCGUAAUUUAAAAAGUAUUGACCAUUUUUUUCAUAUUUUAAUUUUCUUAAAAAUAUUCUUUUAUAAACAAAAUUUUCAUAUCUAACUUUUUUUAUAAAUAUAAAAUUUUAAAAAUAAAUCAUAUAUUUACGCGGGUCAAUAAAACUUAAAUCACGUGUUCAAGUGAUCCAUUUUAUCUACUUUGAAAUUAACCAUUUUAUCUUUGAAAUGGAGAGAGCAUUUAUCGUCGCACUGGUUGUGAGCUCUCGUGCUUCUCGCCAAAAGAUUUGGUAGGAAGUUACCCGCUGGUUGACUCAAAGAACAUUAUCCGUAGAAUUUAGAGAGGUUUAUACCCGUAAACUACGAAGCAAAUAUCAUGCGUGCAGAAUUUCCAUAUCGUAGAAUUUUACGAUAUGAAAUUAAUUCUAUUAAAUUGUACAUAACAUUAGGAUAUUAUUUGUGAAAAAUUAUAAGUACAGAAUUAUCAAAAAUAUAAGUCAAAAGUAUAAUGUUAUUGUCGGAAAAAGUUAAAUCAAAAGUGUAUCAUCUGGCGUCCCAGGUCCAGGCCGACUCACCUCGAGAAUUUUGCAGAUACUCAUUUGUAAGAUUAUAAGUCAUAUUUGUCAAAAGAAAGUGUAUCAUAAAAUAUUUUUAAACUAUAAUUAUUAAAUUAUAUUUUAAAAAGUGUUAUAAUAUGCGUAGAUAAUCUUUUUCAGACAUACUUGAACAAUCUCGAAGGAUAUUAAGGCCUUGUUUCCCCAAUUUUGUAGGUAUGUUAUAUGUACAUUCAAAGCAGAUUUAGACGUUGGAGACUCAUUUGCCAUUUUUCCUUUUGACGUUUUUCGCUUUAGUUUACGCGUAGUUGUUUUGUUCCUUACAUAUAGACGUCCAAUUAGUCUUGGAAACGAAGGUCUUAUUGUCGGGUUUUCUUAACAGAAGCGGAAUAUAUUAAAUCGAAACCGAAUCAUACAUCAAUGUCUCUGACAUAACGGAGGACAUCAAAAAACAUUUAAGCAAUCCAUCAUACAAAAUCACCCUAACUAAUAAAUAGGCAAUCUUAUUAAUCUUAUUGGUUUUAUCCAUAUGAAUACAGGAGGAGUUUGUUCCGAUCAAAAUUUAACACAUAUCAAAAAAAAUUAUAUCCAAUUUUGUACACGAGCCGUUUUCCAUUUUUGAGUGAAAGAAACAGAUAUAUCUGGACGAGAACAUAGCAGUAAACGGCAAUCUUGCAACACAACUCCCACCUCCAAGUAGUACUCUAUGCCCUUUGUCAAUGCAUUAGCAGUAAGCAGAGAGUCACUUUGCAGAAGAGUGAAAGAAUAUAUGUAUAAAAGGUUGUAAGUAUCAACAUUUGGCGCUAGAAGGAGGGGGCUCCACUAUUUUCCAACAAAAGAGAUCUUCGAUUCAACCACAGAAUGGCCGGAGGAGAGGAACGAAGGCGGAGCGCACGCUCCACCGUUAAAUCGAAGCUGACCAGAGCAAUCAGCUCUCCAGAAAUAGAUCUACGUAGCAGUCUACCCCCCAAAAAGUUGCUAUUCGGUGACACUUCCCCCGAAGGAUCAGUAGCCGCUCCGGCGCAAUCUGACCCUACGGGAAGGGGGCGGAAACGCGGUCCCAAGCAAACAGUGCUCACCCCACAGGGGAAACACGUCCUGACCAGCGAUGCACGUCUCCAUCUCGAGAGAAUUAAAGCACUAAAGCAACACGAUGAGCGAGUGAAAGCAAACGAGGCUAUAAACCUCGAAGACGAGCUCCAAGCCCUAGAUACUAAGAGGCGUAUGCUCGCUGCCAAGGUGAGACAACAGAGGGAAAUAGCUCGCCUCGAAGCAGAGUUAGGCCACGCUUCACAGGAGUACCAAACCAGAGAUGAUGAGGAGGUUUCCUGGAGGCCCUCGGCCAACAGCGAGUAUUCUACCAGGGCCGACUCGGCGGGCUCAUACAGCUCUCGUCGCCAUAAGAAAAAGUCGACUCGUCACAAUGAAGAAGAGGAGGAGGAAAGUGGAUCUAAGGCUAAAUCUAGUUCAGAAAUCACGGAAAUCAAAAGCGAGCUAGCAAGGCUGAGAAACCAAAUUAAAACAGGCUCUGGAGGCGUGGAGGCCUCAUCUGAAAGCCCCUUAUCCGAAGAAAUUGAGAAUUAUCAGCUCAACAAACACCAGAAGAUUCCAUCGAUUGGCCAGUUUGACGGGUCCACAGCCCCAUCCGACUUCAUCAGCCAAUUUGAUGGCAGAAUGAGCUACUACGGCCACUCAGAGAUAUCGCGUUGUCGCUUCUUCUGCACUUGUCUCAGCGGUACUGCUCUUGAAUGGUUCGAAAACCUGCCCCCACGGUCUAUUGACUCGUGGAGCACCUUGAAAAACAAAUUUCGAACCAGAUUCUCGAGCAACAAGAGAGGGGGAAAAAUCACAGCAUCCCUAAUGACUGUGCGCCAAAGGUCUUCGGAGUCUCUCAGAGACUUCCUAGCCAGGUUCAGGGACGAGGUCGCCGUAAUUCCUAACCUAAUCGACGAGCUAGCAAUUAACUACCUGGCAGCAGGGGUGGACAAGAACCGCCAUGGCAGAAUUUUAGAAGAAUUCUUCGAGAAAAACCCUAGAACACUCCAGGCUGCCAUGGAAAUUUUCGAACACAGACUCACCAUCCAAGAGGCUGUAGGCAGUAUUCAAAUGGCUUCGCCUCCAACAAAAAAGUGGGAUAAAGGUUCAGGUUCAAACAGCAAGUGGGAGCCAAGGAGGCUAGAAGGCCGCCUUUCUCAAGGGGCCGAAAAGCCAGGCCUCGGACAAAACGCCCCCACGCCUCCACAGCUCCUUGAUGCCCCGCCACCUCAUCGGCCCCGGGGCUCGUGGCCUCCACGCCCCCCUAGGGAAGAAAAGGACUUCACUAAAUUAAACACCGAAAUAACAUCUAUCCUGGCGAUAAUGAAGACAGAUCCAAACUACCGCCCUCCAAGGCCGAUGAACCCUAACAGGCCCCCAAGCUCAAAAUACUGUGAUUACCACGAGGAUACAGGCCACACAACGGAAAGGUGUUACCAGCUCCGCAAUCUAGUCGAAAACAAAAUCCAGAGUGGAGAACUAGCACACUUUGCAUUACGAGAAGAACUCGCUCAGCCAAAUUCAGGGGGCACAGACAGGAUCAUUGACGUCAUAUCAGGGGGUUUCGCCGCCGGCGGAACAUCAAACAAUGCAAAGAAGCUAUACGCCAGAGAAGUAUACAGGGUUGACUCUAAGCGCCCUAAACAAAAUCCUUCGCCAGUAAUUUCAUUCUCCGACGCGGACUAUCCAGAGGGAAUAAUAAGGACGCAUCAAGACGCAAUGGUCAUAACAACAAAAAUCGGCACAAACACAGUCAAGAAAAUACUGAUAGACGACGGCAGUUCAGUGGACAUUCUCUAUCAUGGAGCAUUUUCUAGAAUGGACCUCGGGGACAGAAAACUCGAUGACGCCAGAAAUGCACCAUUGUACGGUUUUACGGGCAACGAGGUCCGGGUCCUGGGAACGAUUGAUCUUCCAGUACUGUUCGGCUCGCCCCCCGCCCAGCUAUGGCACGUGGUCAAGUUCCACGUAAUAAACGCCACCAAUACUUACAAUGCAAUAUUGGGGAGGACGACGACAACAGCACUCAGGGCAAUAACAUCAAUCCCACAUCUGAAAAUGAAAUUCCCCACGGAGUUUGGAGUGGGGGAAGUUCGAGGCGAUCAGCAAAUGUCAAGGCAGUGCUACAUCGGCAAUGUCAUUCCUAAAAGAAAGCCUCCACGCUCCAUCACAUCCACGAUCAAUCAAGUGGGUGACACACCUCGGAAGCUCGAGGCCUAUGAGGCCGAGGACCCCGAACCUAGUUAUCAACCCGUGGAGGACAAACCCCCCAAUUGUCAACCCGUGGAGGCCCUGGAACAAAUCGCCCUGGACCCCACAAAUCCAGAGAAAACCGUGGGAAUUGGUGCCAACCUACCUUCCCAAAUACGGGACCCUUUAACCUCACUACUCCAAGAGUUCGCGGAUAUAUUCGCCUGGACCCCGAGCGAAAUGCCAGGGAUCCCUGAAACAAUCGCACUUCACAGGUUGAACAUCAAGCCUGGUUCUAAAUGCGUUAAACAGAAGAUCAGGACCUUCUCACAGGAGAAGAGAGAGGCCAUUGAGGCUGAGGUAGACCGCCUCCUGGCCGCAGGCUUUAUCAAAGAGGUCCAGUUCCCAAAAUGGAUAGCAAAUACAGUCUUGGUCAAAAAGAGCAACGGCAAGUGGAGAAUGUGCAUCGACUAUUCCGACCUCAACAAGGCUUGCCCCAAGGACUUCUACCCGCUACCAAACAUAGACCAGUUAAUUGACGCAACAGCAGGUCAUGAACUAAUCUCUUUCAUGGACGCCUUUUCGGGCUAUAACCAAAUCAAGAUGGCUAAGGAAGAUCAGGAGGACACGGCAUUCAUCACCCACAAAGGGGUAUUUGCCUACACAGUAGUGCCUUUCGGCCUCUUAAACGCGGGAGCCACAUUCCAAAGAACCAUGGACACCAUAUUCGCCCCGCAAAUAGGAAGGAACAUGGAAAUCUAUGUAGACGACAUGAUCGUCAAGUCAACAAAAUCAAGUCAACAUGUCGCCGAUCUGCGCGAGACAUUCUCCCGAAUCAGGGAUCAUCAGGUGCGCCUCAACCCGGCGAAAUGUUCAUUUGGUUUAACCGGGGGUAAGUUUCUAGGCCACCUACUCACCCAGCGGGGCAUUGAGGCCGACCCAUCCCAAAUCAAGGCCAUUACGGAGAUGGAGCCCCCAAAGUCUCUAAAGGACCUACAAAUACUCACAGGGUGCAUAGCGGCUUUAAGACGCUUCAUCCCUCAGUCAUCAAAGAGAAGCCUCCCUCUCUACGAGGCCAUCAAAGGUGCUGCCAAGGCCCACAAAUUUGAGUGGACAAAAGAGUGUGACCGAAGCUUCGCAGAGAUAAAGGAGUUCUUGUCCAACCCGCCAGUAUUGGCAAAGGCAAUGCCCGGGGAACCGUUAAAGCUCUACCUCUCGGCAUCAGACUCCACCACGGCAGCAGUAUUGGUUAAAGAGGUGAAAGGCUCACAGGCACCCGUUUACUAUGCGAGCCACUUGCUAAAAGACACUGAAACACGAUAUAGCAAGAUUGAGAAGUUAAUCCUAGCUCUGGUAAUGGCCAGCAGAAAAUUAAGGCACUACUUCCAAGGGAGGGAGAUCACAAUAUUGACAAACCAGCCCCUGCGCCGGGUCUUACAUCGCCCCGACAUAUCAGGAAGGCUAGCUGCUUGGACUAUAGAGCUAAGUCAGUUCGGCUUGGAAUUCCUACCCCGAGCAGCCGUUAAGUCUCAAGUACUCUCAGACUUCAUCGCCGAAUGUAACUUCUCGGAGUCACCUACCACCAAAGGGCAGUCCUUCUCAGACAAGGCGUGGACAUUGUUUACAGAUGGCUCCUCCACCGAAGAGGCUGGGGGGGCAGGGAUACUCUUGGUCAGUCCCGAAGGUUUCAAGGUACAACAAGCAGUCCGCUUCAAAUUCUCAGCCACGAACAACGAGGCAGAGUACGAGGCAUUAGUCGCUGGCCUAAACCUAGCAAAACACCUCGAAGUCAAGAACAUUGACAUAUUUUGCGACUCGCAACUCGUGGUAAAGCAAAUCUCAGGUGACUUCAAAACCUCGAAUGAAAGAAUGGCCUCAUACAGAAAGGUGGUUUUGAACCUUCUACAGGCCCUGACAUCUUGGUCCAUUAAAAACAUAGCUCGAUCGGCCAACCACUGGGCCGACGCGCUCUCUCGGCUGGCUACCUCAUCAGCUGCACAGUCCCAAGAGCCAAUCUACGUCAAAGAGCUCGUCCAGCCAUCAAUCACCAGAGACGAGGUCAAUUGUGUAACCAUCGUAUCAGACUGGAGGACUCCUAUCAUCGACUUCAUCAACGGAACUUUGGACACUGCAGACAGAAAUGAAAGGCGUAAAAUCGAAUUCAAGGCUCGCAAUUUUUGCAUGAUAAACGGCAAGCUCUACAGAAGGGCCCUAACUGAACCCUUACUCAAAUGCAUCGGACCAGAAGAGACUCAAAUCGCCAUGACAGAAAUACAUUCCGGCAUUUGUGGAGAGCACGCCUCAGCAAAGAGCAUGGCAACCAAGAUGCUUAAGCAUGGGGUAUUCUGGCCAACCCUUCGCGCAGAUUGCGAAAACUUCACUAAAAAAUGUAAACCAUGCCAACUGUAUGGGGCAAUGAACCACAGACCUGCAACUAGCUUCUCCGCCUCACAGCCUCCAUGCCCUUUCUUCAUGUGGGGCAUGGACCUGGUUGGCCCACUACCCAAAUGUUCAGGACAGAAACAAUUCUUGAUCGUAGCAAUUGAUUACUUCACCAAAUGGGUCGAGGCCAAGCCCCUAGCCAGAAUCAGGGAGACAGAAGUUGUUCAUUUCUUCAUGGAAUACAUAGUAUUCCGCUUUGGAGUUCCACGUAUCAUAGUAACAGACAACGGCUCCCAAUUCACAGGCAGGGACUUCGAAGAAGCCCUAAACCAACUAAAAAUCAGCCACAUCAAAUCCUCAGUCGCAUAUCCACAGGCCAACGGCCAAGUAGAAAUCACAAACAAAGCAAUAUUGCAAGGAAUCAAGAAAAGGCUCCAGGAGGCAAUAUCCAAUUGGGUGGACGAGCUCCCCAAUGUAUUAUGGGGCCAUCGAACAACACCAAGGUCAACCACAGGCUUCUCCCCUUUCAGAAUGGCAUAUGGAACCGAAGCUGUGUUACCAGUGGAAAUCAGCAUGGGAUCCCCUAGGGUGGAGGACUUCUCCCCUGAAAAAUCUGAGGAAGGGUUAAAACUCCACAACGACCUCAUCGAGGAAUCCAGAGGCGACGCCCAGCUCAGGGUAGCCCAAUACCAAAAGAGGGUGGCCCAGUAUUACAACUCGAAAAUCAAGAUAAGAAGCUUUGAGGAAGGAGACUUGGUUCUCCGAGAAGCUGCAGCCUCCAUGCCCUCCAAGCAAAACAAGCUAUCAGCCCCUUGGGAAGGUCCAUACAUAGUGGCAAAGAUAAUCAGGCCAGGGACGUAUAGGCUCGCCAACCUCAACGGUUCUCCACUCCCCAACACCUGGAACGCAAUCCAUCUAAAAAAGUUCUAUCAGUAAAGUAAAAAGCCCCUUCCACAAAUCAAGGCCUAUACGCCAUCCAUCGAAUCAAGGCUCGAACGCCAUUUAUCAAGGCUCAAACGCCAUCUAUCUAGGACUAGCAAAUUAAAGUCCCUUUUGGGCCAAGAACACCGUACGAUAAUGUAUUUUCCAUCAUUAGCAUAUAUUCCUGAGUUCUAAAUUCUGGUUAACGGAUUAUGUUAUGAAUAUCUUUUUGAAGUUAGUAAAAUUGCGCUCCUUAAAGAAAAUUCUCGCCUUAAAACGUUACAGUUUUACUUUUACACUCUAACAUUAUUUCCCAUGAUUAUUCCCCUCUGUCAUAAAUUACUCAAAUGCAGGAAACCUCUCCCAACAACAGAUAGGCGGUCACAUACGGCAACAGCGAAGGGAAAAGAAGGAAGCGAACAAAGCAAAAACAAAUCAAAUACAAGAACAAAGUAAAGCAUUAAGCAGACGCAAAAAGAACAAAUUCAGAUAAAGUUCAAACGCAGAAAAAGCAAGUUAGGAGUUACAUCACCAAUCUGGGGCAUCCCCCAGCCAACAAAAGGUUUGUCCAAAAGCAACACAAGCGUAGCAGAUAAAAGAUGUCUUAAUACAUAUUUCCUCUGGGGCAUUCCCCAGCAAAUCGUAAGAGUAAUAAGAAACAAAUCAAGUCGCAGACCCUGCGCGGCCAGCCGAGUCACCACCAUCGUCACAGUUACGAGCCUCUUCCUCACAAUGAAGCCCGAAGGUAUGCGCUUCCAUGUUAUAUCCAGCCUUCACGGCACGGUUCCAGCACAGGUUAUAGCCAGCCUCCAGAGCCCCAAACGCCUCCUCAUGGCUCUUAGACAAGGCCUGGCGAGCCUCCACCAGCUCUUUCUCCAAAAGGAUCUUGUUCCUCCCAAACUCAGCUAUCACAGAACAAUACUCAGCAGCCAUCCGCCUUUUGUCAGCAGCAAACUCAACCUCAAUAUUUUGAUAAGAUGCCACAAGGGCAUUCAAAGCUUCCUUGUCAGAACCCAAGGCCUCCACACGCUUCUCCAAAUCAGCUACGGUCCCCAAAGCCUCACGGUUCUUUCGUCCAAGUAAGGCGAUACGCUUCUCCGCGUCCACUUUAUGACGUUGAGCAUCCACCAAGUCAGCACGGAGACGCUUCAACUCAGUCUCCAAAUUUCCACGAACCCCCAAGGCCACCAGCCGAUCGAACUCGACAGUAAACUGGGAUAUGGACAAAAAACAAAAACAGCGGUUCACUAACACAGCGACAAAAGCACAAAGUAAAACUGGAAAAGCAAAGUAAGGAAGGUGCCAAACCUGAUCCAACAAUUCCUUGGCAGAAACAGCAGCCUUUGCGGCAGAAAAGGUCUCGUCAGCCAAAGGCCCCUCAGGCUCCUUGCUCGAAGAUCCAGGCCUCCCAGCCUCAUUAGCUCGAAGCUUUAUUAGCCCACGGCCUUUCUUCUCCAAAGGCGGCCCCGCCUCCUCCUCUACACGACGAGCUCUCUUCCUGCUAGACGUCCGGGCAGCAACAGACUCCACGAGAGUCCCACUAACCUCCCCCAACAGCUCCAAAGAACCACUAGCCUCCACAUCCACAACCCGCGGCUUAGAGGACUCCUCAAAAUCCUUGUCACCAGAAAACUCAAUCCCUUUUUCAGCCAAAGAAGAAACACCCCUUUUCGCCAUCAUGGACUUCAGAGCCGAACUCAGCAUCUUGCGAGGGGAUCUUAGCAGCGCCCGCAAAGGCUCUCCAGCCACUGUCAAAAUACCAACAACAAAGUUCAAGAGCAAAGAAAAAGAGUCACAAAGGAAAGCAACACAAAAGCAAUAUCUUACAACAAUGAGAAACUAAAAAUUCAUUUUUUGUGAAAUCCUCGGUAGAGAAUGUCACAUCCUCCCCAGAAAACAAAGCCAAAACACUUUCAGGCAAACCAGGCAUGUGGUUUAAUUCAUAAAGCCAGUCCUUGGAUACACCAUUCCAUGGACUCACAGAGCCCAACUCUCCACCAGAAAAAUAGGCCCAUUUACCAUGCCAACCGUUAUUCGACGUCUUGACAUUAACCAGGCGAGUGCGCCCGGAUUUCUUAUCCAAAUACAACUGACCGCCCCCAUACUUAACCCGAUAAAUGGAUAAUAACAAGUCAACAGUAGGGAUCUUCUUCUUAUCAUGACUCCGGGCGAUUACGCCACAGAUCUGCACAACAGCAUUAGGGGACAACUGCGCAAUACCACAACCCAACAAUUUAAGAAGAGCCACAAACAACGGAUGCAUGGGGAGGCGGAAGCCCAACUCAAAAAACAAGAAGGGGAUGGCCUGCCAACCCUCCUGAGGCAUGUGCCACAAACAAUCACCUUCCUCAGGAAGAUGAACAGAAUAAACCCCAUCGGUGCCGCAAUACUCACCAAGUUUCGCCAUCUCGGGAGAAUCAGGACCAAUAACACUCGGCCGGUUAAAAGCAGGGUUCGACCGGAACACCCUCCUCAGUUCUUCCGGCAUAGAGGACACCGGAGCCGAAGGCUUCUCUUUCGCCGGGGUGUUUUUCGUCAAAUCUAGGAUGAAAGGAUCAACUGACUCCAAGUCUUGCAACCCAUCGUCUAGAGAUUCCAAAUCAUGGGAAGACGAGUGUGGAACAAGAGGAGACGGCAAGGGACCAAGAUCAUCAAACAGAGUUUCCCCAGCAGCCUCAGGCCCAACACGAGCAGAAAGGGAAUGGCGUUUUCUCGAUGAAGACAUGAGCAAGCAGUAAAAGAAAACAAAAAGAAAAGAGGGAAAAAAUACCUAGAAAAGAUCGCAACUGGAGAAAGGAAGAGUUUUUUUCCGAAAAAACAAGACAACUAUGGCAGGUUGAAAGCCACAAGUAAGCCAGUUCAAGACUCCGAGUCCCGAGGAACCCCAACAGCCAAUCGCCACUUCAAAAACUGCGGGAAAGAAAAAACAAUUGAAAUAAAAAUACGGACAAAAACCCAGCCCAUCUAAAGAAAGGCUCCAGCUAGGGGGGAGACUAAAUGUUGGGCCUUAGCCCAGAUAGCCUCAGCCCAGAUACGAAGAGCCCACCUAAAAGCCCACUUAGAGGCCCAGAACCAAGAGGUCUAUAAAUAGUGAAAGAAAACACUGUAAUAGAGAGGGGAAAAUAGAAGAGUGAAAGAAUAUAUGUAUAAAAGGUUGUAAGUAUCAACAACUAAUAAAUAGGCAAUCUUAUUAAUCUUAUUGGUUUUAUCCAUAUGAAUACAGGAGGAGUUUGUUCCGAUCAAAAUUUAACACAUAUCAAAAAAAAUUUAUAUCCAAUUUUGUACACGAGCCGUUUUCCAUUUUUGAGUGAAAGAAACAGAUAUAUCUGGACGAGAACAUAGCAGUAAACGGCAAUCUUGCAACACAACUCCCACCUCCAAGUAGUACUCUAUGCCCUUUGUCAAUGCAUUAGCAGUAAGCAGAGAGUCACUUUGGAGAUCUACACUGGCUCCUUGUAUUGACUGAGGCCAGCCAAGUGCUUGGAGUACUCCUCGAGUUUGAGCUUCGAACACCAUAAUCUCACCUGCACAUCUUAAAUUCUUUGCUUGUAUGAAACUGCCUUCAUGAUCCCGAAGAAUGAUGCAUUAUAUUUAGCUUAAAUCUUCCUUGAGCAGGAGCUUUCCAUUUAGACCCUCCCAUCAACUGCGUGUCCAAGCCACAUGAUCACAAACUUGACCUCUGGAAAUUGUUUGUACCCAGAUUUUACAAGCGUCAGGACAUGACGGGAAGCUGAGCUGACACGACGAGAAGAGCUGACGGGAUAAGGAUAAUUGUAGAUAAAAUUAGUGGAUAAGCUUUAGACUAAGUCUCAACAAAACUCCACCUUUUUAGGAGCAUCAUUCAAGAAUAAAGCAACGGGUAUUAGCACAAAAGAAGGGAUGUUACAUGCACGUACAGGGAAGUGGAGUGAAAAUAGGAGUUGGUGGCCAUACAUGACUCUAGCCAAAUGUAUUAUAAAAGGAGGCAAGUACUCGCAGGAAAAAAGAAGAACAACCCACCUACUGGAGUUACCUAUACACACCCAUCUACACACUAGCCUAUAAACACUAGUUGAGAAAAUAAGUAACGUAGCUUAUACUUUGUUUCAUUCAUUUGCAACUUGUAUUUAAGCUCACACGUACUACAAAAUUCUAGUGAAUUCUUUUAUUGGCUGGGUAACCAUUCCCACCCGCGGUUUUUACCUUUUUACGGGGUUUUCCGCGUCACCAAAAUUGCUUGUGUUCUCGUCUCUUAUUUUCUUUUCGAUAUUUUUCAUUCGAUCUUUUAAGUAUUCAUACAUAAAAACACAUACUCCAUUGUUAUAGAAAUUAAAUAGGCUUGGCUUUUAACCCCGCAAAUUUUGGUAAAAACAAUUGGCGCCGUCUGUGGGAAACUAGCGAAGCACUUACAUGAUUUCUAUGGCAAUGGAGUUCACGUCGACGCACAUAUUAAUCGGUUCAAAAGGGGCUACAAGAGAUAGGCGUCAUUGAUACACUGAUUUUUUAUAUCACAUCACUUUGGUUGACAUGGCGAGAAGAUUUCUGAUUACAAACAUGGGGUUGUCCGACGGGUUGGCUGAAUUAAAGAACACGUCACUCAACACACAUAAUGGAAGUUACAAUACGGAUCUUAAAUGCAUUAUGACAGCUCUUCAUAAGUAAGGAUCUCGUAAUUACACAAACAAGGGGCUGAUCCAACGAACACGUCUCUCAACAAAAACAAUGGGACUGCCCGACGAGUUGAUCAACAUGUCCAUAUAUCGCCGACGCCUUCAGCCUACAACACGUGAUAGUUUGAGAAGACGACGGCAUACAUGUGUCACAUCUGUCAAGAGGUACACAAAGACUCCGAGAGGGUACUAGUCAAGGUUAAACAUACCUGGAGUAAUCACAAAUGACCAUGACAUGUACGACGGGAACAAUUCAUAUUCGUCUGAUCACGUCUAACGGGAACCAGUAAAUCACAUGUGACGCAACACGACUAACAAGACAUGGGUGACAUCUACACGACAAAAAACAACACCACAGAGGACAUGACGUGACACCAAAGAGAGAGACCGACAUAAUUGAUUUUUUGACAGAAAGAAUGGACAGCUUCGCUUGGGAACACGACGACACGAUGGGUAGCAGCCUCGACUUGAACAUACACAAGUUAAAUGAUGACAAGUCAAGCCACAUACAUGUCAAAUGCAAACCAAACAGAAUUAAGAUAAUCAAUCGCAAAGGAGACAACUAAUUCAAAAAAGGACAUGAUACAUGAAAUCGAGUAUCAGGAAUGACUAGCAAACAUGGUGACAGUAUAAAAAUAAAACCAUGACAAUUGGACAUAAAGUCUUGACAUGAUGAUCGACGUGACAGCUAGACAUGAACUCUAGUAACAUAACAGAUCAUGUCAAAUACAUUAUCACCUAUGAGCCACAAACAACGAUUGACUCACAAAUUUUGUUAAUUUUGUGGCUAAUUUCAAUCCAAGUCUUCUAUCUCAACAGGACAUGACGACUUAUCCUAAAAUCGUCACAAGGGGACAAUAUAGCAUACCCAAAACACGAUCGACAUCACUGGUUCAACAUGAUGUGAAGUAAAAAGACAUGACAUGACCACGAAGGAUAAACAUAGACGAAAGAGUCAAAAAUGGACUAGUUGUUGCGACAAGUCCAAGAAACUUGAUUAAUGUCAACUCGACGACAUGGGACACAAAGGUCAACACUAUGACAGAAUAUGAAUCAUUGACGCCUCUAGAGGUGUCCGACGUCUCCCAUCUGAUUUAACAAUACAUUACAAAUUACAAGUCCUCAGGGGCUCGAACAUGCUACUUUUGAAACUUUAUCACAUGUAAGUGAACUCAUCCUCUUUAUUCUCUUAGUCUUUAGCAAUAUGAUAAUAAGUUGAUUACGAUCUUUACUUGGUCUUAUGCCAUUUAGAUGAUAUUUCAUGCUUCGAGUAAAUGUUUGCUUGAAUGAUUCGUGAUCUAAGCAUGAUGAUACAUGUGCUUGUUUCUUACAUGACUUGUUACUCUACUUGAUAGAUAUGUGUGUUGAAAUAUGUUAUGCAAGUUGUUCCAAAUUGUCUUCAUGUUUAACUGCUUAAAAUUGACGUCUUCAUCAUGAUAUUUAUUGUGGCAUGAUACUGCAUGAGUAUAUUUUAGAUACAUAUUUAAUAGACAAGGAGGGCUGAUCACCCAUCCUACUACAGUUAAUCAUUAUCGAAUGAUGAUGACGACAAUACUACACGUUACACAAACAACUAACGACGCCACGAAUAAUGAUGCAUUUCAACAUUAUGUAUUUAAACAUUACAUAAUCACAAUUACAAUUACGAGCUAAGUUUCAAGAGGGAAAGGCCUUUUAACUAGCCUACGAAUGCAUGCAUCGACGUUUGAAAAUAAACAAAUUUGUCAAAUACAACAACGUUUGAAAAUUAUAUAUAUUUAUCGAAUACAUAUACUACAUGCAUCAAUGUCUGAAAAUUAUAUAUUCAUCGAAUAUAUAUAUUUGUCGAAUACAUAAAUUACGUGUAUCAACACUUGAAAAAUAUAUUUGUCAACUACAAUUACGCAUAUUACAAGUUUAAAUACAUCGACGUAUUUAACAGACAUGUCGACGAAAACUCCACAAAAUCACGCAAGUCACAGCCCUUGGUCGGACACAUGAAUUACAAUGUACAUUUCUACAUGUCAUCACUUACACGAGUCAUGACAGAUUGCAUUGACUACAUGUCACACAUACUACAAGUGACAUAUAAGGUUGCAAACAACAUAUCACGUUAUAGCUAUGAUGACGAGCUGCACAUCAUGUCUACAAAUUACAUAUUACGAACGGAAGACAUGGUACAAAACACUUUACAUGUUGGUACUCCUAUUCAUUACGUCACGGUCACUCCAAAUUUAGGGGUCACAUGAAACGCAACCGACAAUCACAAGAUUAUAUACGACAUCUUGCACAUGUCGGAAGACAUCUAAAAAGGGCUUUACAAAUAUAAUGCAAAGGAACGUCACAACUUGACAUGUUAAUACUACGGGGCUGAUUGUAAUUAUGUCCAAGCCUACAGGUAACUACGAUAGAGCAAAUACAAAGCGUUCUCAUCUUAGAACGAAAAACUAACGACAACGAAACAGCUACUCAUCGAUGUUUUUAUCAUUGGAAGAUUUAGACAACAAUGACAACAUUACAAUGACACAAUGAGAUUGAGACUCGAUACAAGACAAUAACGAACAAGACAAAUCGACAUGACAUGAUCACAUGUUGCAAGCGUCAGUAUUUUAACAUAGCAUAGGUGUUCCUAUUAGCCAUGAUCUAAAGAAAACGGAGGGUUAAAGAAGUAAUUUCAUUGGUUGCAUGCCUCCACCCAAUAAAAUUAGGGGCUAUUGUUUGUACCCAGAUUUUACAAGCGUCAGGACAUGACGGGAAGCUGAGCUGACACGACGAGAAGAGCUGACGGGAUAAGGAUAAUUGUAGAUAAAAUUAGUGGAUAAGCUUUAGACUAAGUCUCAACAAAACUCCACCUUUUUAGGAGCAUCAUUCAAGAAUAAAGCAACGGGUAUUAGCACAAAAGAAGGGAUGUUACAUGCACGUACAGGGAAGUGGAGUGAAAAUAGGAGUUGGUGGCCAUACAUGACUCUAGCCAAAUGUAUUAUAAAAGGAGGCAAGUACUCGCAGGAAAAAAGAAGAACAACCCACCUACUGGAGUUACCUAUACACACCCAUCUACACACUAGCCUAUAAACACUAGUUGAGAAAAUAAGUAACGUAGCUUAUACUUUGUUUCAUUCAUUUGCAACUUGUAUUUAAGCUCACACGUACUACAAAAUUCUAGUGAAUUCUUUUAUUGGCUGGGUAACCAUUCCCACCCGCGGUUUUUACCUUUUUACGGGGUUUUCCGCGUCACCAAAAUUGCUUGUGUUCUCGUCUCUUAUUUUCUUUUCGAUAUUUUUCAUUCGAUCUUUUAAGUAUUCAUACAUAAAAACACAUACUCCAUUGUUAUAGAAAUUAAAUAGGCUUGGCUUUUAACCCUGCAAAUUUUGGUAAAAACAGAAAUCUGGAAAUAGGUGUUGCCACAAUUACUUUAGCAUCACCAUUGUGAAUAGAUUGUUCACCUCUUGAAUAUCCCAUUUCUUUUCACCAGGGGUGAAUAAAUCAAAUACUUUAACUACAGCUGAUCGGUUAGUAUUUGUACUAUCCACUUUAAAAUCAGCUUUCCCUCUUAGCCAUGCAUCCUCAAAAACUCUAAUUUCCUUCCCAUCCCCAAGAACUCAUCUAAGCCCCUGUUUCAAAACCUCAAUGGCUUGCCAUAAUCCAGACCAGAUAUGGC
rnacentral:lncRNA from 1 species